AGUAGUUUGAUCCUGGCUCAGAUUGAACGCUGGCGGCAUGCCUUACACAUGCAAGUCGAACGGUAACGCGGGGCAACCUGGCGACGAGUGGCGAACGGGUGAGUAAUGUAUCGGAACGUGCCCAGUUGUGGGGGAUAACUACUCGAAAGAGUGGCUAAUACCGCAUACGACCUGAGGGUGAAAGCGGGGGAUCGCAAGACCUCGCGCGAUUGGAGCGGCCGAUAUCAGAUUAGGUAGUUGGUGGGGUAAAAGCCUACCAAGCCAACGAUCUGUAGCUGGUCUGAGAGGACGACCAGCCACACUGGGACUGAGACACGGCCCAGACUCCUACGGGAGGCAGCAGUGGGGAAUUUUGGACAAUGGGCGCAAGCCUGAUCCAGCCAUGCCGCGUGCGGGAAGAAGGCCUUCGGGUUGUAAACCGCUUUUGUCAGGGAAGAAAAGGUUCUGGCUAAUAUCCGGGACUCAUGACGGUACCUGAAGAAUAAGCACCGGCUAACUACGUG
rnacentral:rRNA from 1 species